rnacentral:tRNA from 2 species
ACGGAUGUAGCUCAAUUGGGAGAGCAUCGGUCUCCAAAACCGAAGGUCGUAAGUUCGAUUCUUACCAUCCGUG